CCUUAGAUGUUCUGGGCUGCACGCGCGUUACACUGACGGAGCCAGCGAGUACUCCCUUGGCCGAAAGGUCCGGGUAAUCUUGUUAAACUCCGUCGUGCUGGGGAUAGAGCACUGCAAUUAUUGCUCUUCAACGAGGAAUCCCUAGUAAGCGCAAGUCAUCAGCUUGCGUUGAUUACGUCCCUGCCCUUUGUACACACCGCCCGUCGCUACUACCGAUUGAAUGGCUCAGUGAGGCGUUCGGACUGGCCCAGAGAGGUGGGCAACUACCACUCAGGGCCGGAAAGUUCUCCAAACUCGGUCAUUUAGAGGAAGUAAAAGUCGUAACAAGGUCUCCGUUGGUGAACCAGCGGAGGGAUCAUUA
rnacentral:rRNA from 1 species